GGUAAGAUGGCCGAGUAGGCAUUAGACUGUAAAUCUAACAACAGGGUAAUUUCCCUUCUUAUCA
rnacentral:tRNA from 1 species